UUAUAAAUUUUACAGAAGAAACGUAGGACGACGAUGUGAAACUUGUUUUUGGUAGAUGAAAGUUAUAUACUUUUACAAAAUGGACUUUAAACUUGUUAAUCGUUAUCGUGAACUUUAACAAAAUACGGCGAAAGCGAGCCUUCGGAGUCACGUUUUCGAUCCUAUUCUUCGCGAUGUUUUGAAACAGUUUCGAAACUGAUCAGGAGAUACGAUCAACACGUAUAGGUCGACAGUUUCUCGAACAGUUCACCGUGUUUCUAAGGCUCUUUACAAAUCGUCUAAAUAAAUCAAAUACCUAGCCAGAGGGAUGAAAAAAAAGCAGAAAUCAUAAUUUUUCGCAAUCGCUCGAUUUCCAAGCGUGUUUGGGUGCGUAAAUGACAUCCAUGUAAAAAUACAGGGACCGUCUGAGCACGAAAGUGAAUUUGUAAAUAAAAAAGGUUAUCAUUCAAUAAAUGUACAGCUAGUUUGUGAUAGUGGCAUAAAUAUAAUUAACUGUGUUGUUAAGUAUUCUGGAAAUAGUCAUGACACCAGGAUUUUGACCGAGUCAAAGCUGUACCGAGCUUAUGAAGUACAUCCUUGAUUAGUCACGGGAUAAACUCAAGAAAGAAUUGAAGAUGCAACGGUGUACUGAAAACACGCCUUCCUUGCCUUUUAAAGAAACAUCAAGGUACAGUCCAAAGAGAGCUAUAGUUAUGAUCAUGGCAUGCAUACUAUUGCACAAGUAUAGUAUGCAUUCUGUAUGAUGAGCAUGAUGAUAAUCAUGAUGUUGAACUUUAUGGAGGUCAACAAGCCUUAAGUGCAAGAACAAAGCAAGAAUCCCUUCUUCACAGAUCCUUCUCCUAGAGCUUUAAUAUUUGAUGCACAGAGGGACUCUCAUUUCCACAAGUGUUGCAGCAGGGACCAGAUGAUGGAAGUUAU